rnacentral:lncRNA from 1 species
AAGGCUGAGGCCUGUCUGAAGGUGUGGAGAUUACUUAAGUUUGGUCCAGAGCCUGUGGACAUCAGUGCAACAGCCCCAUUGACCUUGCUGAGCCUUGAUUUGAGUCUCCAGGGAAUGACUUGCAGUUGAUGCUCCGUUCUACCAAGCUGUACCAGUUUGGAAUUUUACACUUUGGGGCAAGAGAUCUUCUACUACAUGUAGUUUGCAGCCUAAUUAAUGGUGAUACUGCUCCUGACUUUUCCCCAGCUUAAGAUAUGAAUAAACAGGGAGGUGUUCUCUGUUACCAUUUCCCUGUUGCUGGAGCAUAUCCUUGAGGUUUGUUGACGUUAUUACUUAUGUUUAAAUGAAAAAGCAGCAGUACAGCAUUUUCGUUCUUUAUCAUUCCUGGCUGUGCACACCCUCUAAAAUCCAGGACAUGUCAUAGGAAGUUUACUAAUUUUAUAUACAUAAAAUACAGAGAACUUAAGAGGGUAAGGCAACACCGGGCUACAUUGAUGUGAAUUGCCAAUUUAAUCAUGGUUUAAAUCAGCCAGCAGGAAAGCUUCAUUCAGAUAAUGAAUUUCUACCUUGUUUUGUAUUUGUACUUUGGGUGCUGUUUCCCCCCUAAAAAGUUGGCUCCCCUCCCUGUUUGUUAGUAACCAAAGCAACAUAUUUUCAUGCAAGUACAUACCACUUUUAAAUGUCCUUUGGCAAGCCUUUGUGCCCCCUGGAGAUGCGUCACACCAGGGCUGGCCAACCUGCAGCUGGUGAGCUGUUGAGCCACACAUCGCAUGCUGGGACCGCAUCCUCUGGCUAACCACAAGGCUGUGGUGGCAGACGGCUGGUGAGUAAUGCCGUGUCCCACUUGUGGGUGGAAGCAGGCCUGUCCCUGCGCAUGAGUGACCGGCCCGGCACCUCCCUGCCAUGGUGCCACAAGCAUCUCCUGGCGUCUCCUGUGUCUUCUGCCCGUGGAGCUCUCUGGGAUCUCCACCCUUCCCCCAGCUCUCGCAGGUACCUGGCAUGAGUUUUGCGCCGCUCAACCACAUGAAGAUUUCAGUCAGUGACUCGAAGGAUCAGAAAGGCUGGCUUCCACUGAUUUACAUCAAUGGUUGUUCAUUUGGUGCUCGUGCUUUGCAGCAAGUUCUAUUCAGAUGGAAAUUGGAAUUCAAAGAGCUUGCAGAAAAGCGGUUAUUUAGAAUUCUUUUAAUUAGUUGACUGGCAAUAUCUUAAACAUGCUGGAAAAAUAAGUUGACUAAAAUAUGUUUUGAUUAAACCUGUUAAUGAAACAAAGUAUCACUGAUUUAUUUCUGGUAGAUUCUGAUCUUGGAAGAUUUUAGAACUAGCAGAUCUUAUCAUCUCAUGGUAAUUUUUACACAAAAAGUAGAAAAUUUUUUUUAUCUUCCAAUUAGUUUAAAUAUGAGUAAACAGUACAUAUUGAAUGCAAUUUUUUGAAUAAACUGCAGCUAAGAAAAUUUUUUUUUGCA